UUUGGCAAGCAAAGGGACUCAGUUUCAGAAAGCUCUGGGGCUCCUCAGUUAGAAUUCACUCUGCUGCCUCUACCUGCUGACAACUCACAUCAAUGCCUGGGUGUAUGGAUCUUGCUGGAAAAUCAAAAUGUAACUGGCAAAGAGAAAUGCAGAGGUUCAAUAUUGUGCAAGAUGGAUGUGCAUGUCAUUUGGUGCCAAAGACCCAGGUCACAGGGAUUCCUUCGGGAGACCAGGCCCCUGUCCUCACUCUCACUCCAUGAAGGGAUCCACCUAUGACCUCGAGUCCUUAGACCAACCAGCCCAAGGAACAUCUCACCAAUCUCAAAUUGGGUCCGGCCCAGAGGGGAAAUGGAAAGAAGUCAGGAUCCAGAACAGUAAGGUCUGCAGAUGUCUGGGCAGUUUGCUGGAACACAACUGGGGUUAUAUCUGCAAAUGCUAGAGCCCAUCUACACACAGCAAAAUAUCUCACAAUGAAUUCCCAUCCACAGCCUCAGCAAUGGGCUGGUGUGUCCCCAGAGAAUGUCAGCUGAUUGGACAGCAGUCUGCAGGAGAAGGUGAAUCCCCUAAUUUGGAAGGAACUGAAGCAUGAAAAGAUGCUGAGAUCACAAUGAAAACAGACAAAGUCUUCUGGGGAUGAAAUGUUAAAAAGGGGAGAUGUGCAAGGAACACAGGAAGAAUAAGUUCAGGAGAUCUGUUAUACAACAUGGGGAUGAUAGUUAAUAACAAUGCAUGGUACAUUUGGGGAUUGCUAAAGGAACACCUUGUAAAGAUUUCCACCCUUCCUCUUGAAUGAUAAGUAUGAAAUGUGACGGAUAUAUUUCUUAGCUUGAUGUAGCUGUUCCACCGUGUGUGCAUAUAUCAAAACAUCACGUUGUAUCCCAUAAAUGUAUAUCGUUUAAAUUUGUUAAUUAAAAUAAUAAAUAAUAAAGAACAAUGGGAUUUUUGAAAUAAUCAAGUGUAUUUGUAAAUAUAUGGGUAUAUAUGUAUAUGUACUUAUGUAUUUGUAAAUUACAUGUAUGUAUACUUACAUGAAUAUAUCAGUAUAAACACACAUGUACAUA
rnacentral:lncRNA from 1 species